rnacentral:ncRNA from 1 species
AUUUUUUUGUAAUCCAUAAGCAUAAUGAUUGGGUAUUCACAGUCAUACGUGAGAUGUGCCAACCUCAACCUCUAUG